ACACGUAUGAAAGACAAGCUGAAAGACUUUUCUCAAUGAUGUAAGUGGUGGUGCAUGGUCGUUCUUAGUUCGUGGAUUGAUUUGUCUGGUCUAUUCCGAUAACGAGCGAGACCCCGGCGUUCCUAAUAGGGGCGGCAGCCAAGUUGGUCCGCCUCACGGUGGGCUUGCUAGCAGUCGCCUAAGAUUACUUCUUAGACGUAUCAGAGCCGAUAAGGUUCUUGAAAUGGGUUAAUAACAGGUCAGUCAUGCCCUUAGAUGUUCUGGGCCGCACGCGCGUUACAAUGGCAUGUAUAGAUAGUGCUCAAAAGGGCGUAUCCGGGGCCUAACGGCUUCGGUAACCCUUAGUCCCUGCCUUGACUGGGACAGACUAUUGCAAUUAUUGGUCUCAAACGAGGAAUUUUUAGUAGUCGCAGGUCAUUAACCUGCGACGA
rnacentral:rRNA from 1 species